CCAGUGGUGUAGUGGUAUCAUUCAAGAUUCCCAUUCUUGCAGCUUGGGUUUGAUUCCCGGCUGG
rnacentral:tRNA from 1 species